CAAUAGCGUAUAUUAAAGUUGUUGCGGUUAAAAAGCUCGUAGUUGGAUUUCUGCUGAGAACGACCGGUCCGCCCGUUGGGUGUGUAUCUGGCUCUUUCUUGGCAUCUUCUUGGUGAACGUUGCUGCACUUGACUGUGUGGAGCGCUACCCAGGACUUUUACUUUGAGGAAAUUAGAGUGUUUCAAGCAGGCAUACGCCUUGAAUACAUUAGCAUGGAAUAAUAAGAUAGGACCUCGGUUCUAUUUUGUUGGUUUCUAGAGCUGAGGUAAUGAUUAAUAGGGAUAGUUGGGGGCAUUCGUAUUUAACUGUCAGAGGUGAAAUUCUUGGAUUUGUUGAAGACGGACUACUGCGAANGNAUUUGCNAAGGAUGUUUNCAUUG
rnacentral:rRNA from 1 species